GUAUAUAUAAAUCAUCGGGCAAAAUCUGGGUAUAUAAUAUGGACAGGUCCCUCUAAUAAAUUAUGGAUUCCAAAACUUGGGAAAAUGCUAUUAACUAAAUGCUGGUAAUGGGAUUUGUCAAUUGUAAACAAUUCUUUCUGAAGCUAAUCUCUAAUAAAAAUGGUUGAUUUAGAAAGGCAAGAGAAAAGGAAAUAAGAAGAUCUAAU
rnacentral:misc_RNA from 1 species